rnacentral:rRNA from 1 species
AACUGUGUGUGCCUAUACAUAGCUUUUUCUGCUCAAUGAUUUUGUUAAAUAGCCGCAGUAUACUGACUGUGCAAAGGUAGCAUAAUCAAUUGACUUAUAAUUGAAGUCUAGAAUGAAGGAAAGUAUGGGGAGCAACUGUCUUAUGUAAAUUAAUAGAAAUUAUUUAUGAAGUGAAAAUCCUUCUUUUUAAAAUAAUAGACGAGAAGACCCUUGAAAUUUUUAUUAUAUUAGAGUAUUAUGUCUAGUAAUUUUUCGCUGGGGCGGCGGAGUAGCAUAUAACCUACUUACACAAACCUGCGCCUUAUAUGGCAAUUGACUAAAUUACUCUAGGGAUAACAGCAUAAUAUUAAAAAGUUUGUGACCUCGAUGUUGGACUAGGACAUAAUAACCUAAAAGGUUUUUUAUAUUGCUCUGUUCG